UACUUCAAAUCAUAAUCAAUGUGAUUUAAUAGUUUAGACGUGGUUUGAUCGAUUCGUGUCGUUGAAGCAUGCUGAAAUCUUCUGAUGAACACCAACUCGAAGGUCUAAAUCAUCAGUUGAAUAUUCACUGAUAUUCUGGAGUUCUUUUUUGUUUGUCGGCUGGAAUUCUGUGUAAUUUUGGUGGUAUUUCUUGAUGGAGUUUGUAGCACUGUUUCAGCUGUCGGUCCUUGUGCUUUGGAUAUAUUUUAAGCUUUAAAAAGCUAAUUUUUGUUUAUUUCUGGGCAUU
rnacentral:lncRNA from 1 species